UACGUAGGUGGCAAGCGUUAUCCGGAAUUAUUGGGCGUAAAGCGCGCGCAGGCGGUUUCUUAAGUCUGAUGGGAAAGCCCACGGCUCAACCGUGGAGGGUCAUUGGAAACUGGGGAACUUGAGUGCAGAAGAGAAAAGCGGAAUUCCACGUGUAGCGGUGAAAUGCGUAGAGAUGUGGAGGAAUACCAGUGGCGAAGGCGGCUUUUUGGUCUGUAACUGACGCUGAGGCGCGAAAGCGUGGGGAGCAAACAGG
rnacentral:rRNA from 1 species